GCAAAGUCUAGUGGUUAGAGUGUCCGCUUCGGAUGCAGAGGUCGCGGGUUCGAAUCCCGGUAGAAUCA